CUAGCAUUCAUCGCAUUAUCGAUCUCGAUGGAGAAGCCCACAAAUCAAACGCGUGCAGUAGCCCUGCUGCUCUCCCAACUGUUGCUCGCGUGCUUUGCUUUUCAUGCGCAGUGUCGAACCACCGAGGGCAUGGACAACAAGAAAAUCAAUAUACCAGGCGGAUUGUGCGUCCAUCAUAGGGACUGCACACCGGGUAACAAGAAAGACCCUCUGUCAAUCCGACCACUCGCGAGGCUGACGCAGUGCUGUAUUUAAGUUGCAGAUAACAAAAUAAUAAUUCAUAUAAUUUUAUUAAAGGGGCGUGCGACGCAUCCGCCGGCUGAUAUUUGUAAAAGAUCAAUAGGCUCGCGAGCCGUCGGAUUGCCGCAUCAAGCGAGCCGAGCGUGCCUCCAGAACUGCAGCACAAGACUUAUUGCAGAAACAUAGGUCUUGUUGCAGAUUUUUUUUUUGCAACGGCUGUUUUGUCGCGAGAAAAAAAAUUACAAGUAGGGUUUUGUUGCAAUUUUUUCUGCAAUUGAGUUCUUGUUGCAGAAAAUUUCGCAACAAAGGUUUUGUUGUAAAAUUAGACCCAUCAUAGACCAUUGCAACAUGUUAGACUGUA